UACGGAGGGUGCAAGCGUUGUUCGGAAUUAUUGGGCGUAAAGCGCGCGUAGGCGGCCGUUUAAGUCUCACUGUGAAAGCCUGCGGCUCAACCGCAGGAGGCCAGGGGAUACUGGGCGGCUGGAGAGAGGUAGAGGCGAGCGGAAUUCCGGGUGUAGCGGUGGAAUGCGUAGAGAUCCGGAAGAACACCAGAGGCGAAGGCGGCUCGCUGGACCUGUUCUGACGCUGAGGCGCGAAAGCGUGGGGAGCGAACAGG
rnacentral:rRNA from 1 species